AGUAGUAGAAUUCUUUGCAUUCCAGUUAGCAUUCCUGAAUAAAUUUUAGUCAUUCCUUUAGAUUAUCGAACGUUUAUCACACUCAUGUUAGUUUUCCAUGAUUUUGUAGUUGAAUUAAGUGUUGUUUUAUUAAUUUGUAGCAAUAAAAACGGCAGAUAUUAGUAAUUUUGUAGGUAACGAUAAAUAUUUUGUUGACAUUUAGUUUUUUAAAGGCACAGACCACAGACAAGUUAAGUUCAACGAGGGGUACGUUCGGAUGCGUGUUUUUUGAUCCAAGUUUAAGUCGUAACUUGAGCGGUUAAAUAAACGCUCGUUUUGUAAUGUUGGUAGUUCGGUUUUAUGAUUGGAUUUCUUUUAGGUUACGACGUGUUUUUUAGCGCCAGUUUUAAACUUAAACGUAUCGCAACGUGCAGAUUCGUUUAAGGGCGUCGGUUUUUUGUGAAAACUUGGAUUUGGUUUUGUGGUGUAUUCAAGGAUUUAGAGAUUGUUAUUGGGUAAGUUUGAGGUGGAGGUUUUCUUUGGACGCAAGGUCCGGGUUUUCUUUUGCUUUCACCUUGCCGCCAAAGUUAACGCCCUCGCUUACGCCAUAUCGUGUCACUCUUCGGUUGUUUCGUUUGAAGUGUUGAAUAUUGUGGUAAAAAUAUUCAAUCACGACUUUAUGUAUGGAACGUGGUGAACAGCAAAGUCUGUUUUCAUUACUAUUUUGUUUUGUGUGAGGGAUGAAAGGGUUCCUGGAACAGUUCUCUGAAAUGCGUGAAGUAUGAAAGGGGCGACACAAUCUGGCUCGUUGUUUUUAGUUUGAGCGAUCCUUGAUACGGCCUGUUUUUUCGGAUGGAGUUUUUUUUGCGGGUGCUUACCACACCCGAGCGUCGUGUUGGCGCGAUUUGGGGUCGACAUGAGGUCCAUACCCAGGAGUGGUGAGGUAUGGCAGGGCGCGGUCGCACUGCCUACUUCUUGCAUCCCCUUUUGGAUGCGCUCCGUACGGGGUUCUUGCCUUUUGUGGUGUCGAUCGGGUACUCGCUGGUGGGUACAUUUUGUGUUCCGUGCUGCUUUUCCCAUGCCAUGGAGGCGGUGGGGUGGCGCACGCGUUUUUUGGGUAUCGCCGCCAAUCAUGCCUGGUGUUCGAUACAUUUUUUUGGUGAGUCUCAACCAAUCGGUUGAGGUCUCGGGCAUGUUGCAACCUCAGAGUUGCAUAGGAUUUUGUGAUCCGGAGAGUUGGGUGGGAGUCUUUGUUCCACCAACUCGAAGGCCCCCGUGACGGUUUGUUAUGUUUUUUUUGGUUUGUUUACGGAAGAAUUGGAACAGCACAAUGUUGCCAAUUCAACCGUGUGUUAGGAGGAAUGGUAUUUUUUUUUUGUUGGUGAACCGUCAGGGAAUUUUGAUUUUGGAUUUAGGUAUUUUCUCGGAUUGGAAUAUUAUUUUGAAUUGAAUUAUGAGCUUCUCAAGUUUAUGACAGUAAACUUGGAAGUAGGAAUCAUUUUGGAUUUUUUAUUUUGCCCGGUCUAGCGGAGAAUGUUUAAGUGUGCUGAACAUCGGUCCUGGCUGUUGGUUUUGGUUUUUCCAACGCAACUGAAAAGUUGUGUUGGUAAAGCCAAAGGAAUGUUUUCUAUUGGGUUAGUUUUGUAGUGUGGGUUAUUUUUUGAUGGUUCGGAAACCACACUAGGUUUUUUUAUUUUGUGGUGUUGCGUGGGUUCGAGAUUCACUUUUAGGACGUUUAGUUAUUUGGUUUUGUGGAUUGGUUGUUUUUUUUUGGGAAAGGAUCUCGAUACCUACAGCAAUCGCUGUUCUUUUCUGUUAUGUGUUUCUCCCAUACUCAGUAUGGUCGAGGUGUGUUCGUUUUAUUUCCUUACUUUUGUGACACAUGGUUAGGUAGUCGCUGAGGACAGCGAGCGUUUUACCCUUGGUAAAACGCUACAGCAGGGAGAGGGGUAUUGUGACAUUGCACAUUUUUAGUACAACGACGUUUUUAGGUUUGUCUCAAACAUAAGUUUUUGCGGAUGGCAAGGACUUCAAUUGAUCUAGCAACUGAAUCGAUAUGGAUGACAGUUCUGUAAUCCAAUCAGAAUCAUCUGUCAACAAGGGUUGUUGCCAGUAUACAAAUAUCCAUGAUUUUCAUGAUGUUAAUUAUUUUAGAAUUUAAAAUAAAAAUUUGAUUUAAUAAGUUAGGAAGUUGCUAGAACAUGGUUAGAAAAUUAGGUGGAAUUUUACACACUAGAUAUUUUAGUCAUUUGAAAUUUAUUACAGCAAACGAUUGCUGAGGUUGUCGUUCUAUUUGGUAUCCCCAAGCCUCCCAAGGUCGUUAGGAUUUUGAGAUCAUUUCCUCCACACUUGUUAGCUGGCUCCGGUACAGGUCGUAGGCCUCCAGUGGCUACUUUAUGAUAUCGCGGAUCAUCUAUGAUGUGAAGCAGGAAUCCAAAUUAUGGAGCAGCAAGAGUCCUUUUCUGCAGGGCCUCAAGGGUCCUCAGAAUUGUAUUUUCACCAUGAACUUCUCCUGAUGGUUUAUGUGGCGGGAAGGGUUUGUCAGAGCUGCGAAUGAUGAGGCUUCUCAAGUUCCAGCUGGUAAGCAAUCCAGAAUAUUAAUUAUUCAUAUGAUAAGGUUAGGCCACAUUUCCAUUGUCUAAUGAAGGUUUUUUUUUUCUAUUUCAGCUGACUGGGAAUUUAUCAGAUUUAAUUGAUUUAUCAGAUUUAAUUGAUUUAUCAGAUUUAAUUUAUUUUACAUUUUAGAUUUUAAAUUUAUUUGUGAUUUAAUUUCGAGCUCUUCAAAAUUUGUUUUCAAGAUCUCAAGAUUUGAGUUUCAUUCAGUUUCUUCAAAUUGAAUGUUUCACCCGAAGGGGGUUUCGGUGAAGAGGAUGCUUGCCGUAGGCUGAAGCUUUGGUUGCGGUGGUGCUCUUUUGAAUUACUGCGCCUGGGGCAACCGCUUUGGCUCACUGAAGGAUGGCUUGCAUGUACAGCGGUAACUUCUGGCUUGAAGGUUGGUGGCAUUUCUCUUUCCUGGAAGCAAGUGUUAAAUUUAGUUUCUAUCAUCUAUGUUGGCACUGAUACUUAGGGACUAACAAGUUUUAGGCAAUGCUUGUAAAUCACUCAGAACCAUAUUUGCACGGCCCAGCUCUAUCGCCUGGCAAUGUUAUUUUAGUUAAGGUGCUAAGCUUAAGCUUUUAUUGCUGAUUUACAAGCUGUACUUUGCAUUGUGUCCAUUUAGAGAAAUAAAACUGUGUGUCACAA